ACCUGUACUUUGAAGGCUGAUUCUUUCCUAGACUGAAUCUGUGGUUUCACUGAUAUAGGGAACGCCUGGUUAAGGGAGCUCCUUCUACCAAUACACAUGGGCAAUUGUCUGCAAUGGACUGUCUUGGAGAGAUGCCGAGGGUGCUGAAUUCCUCAGAGUCACAAAGCCAGCAUGUGUCAGAAGUGGAACUUGAACCCUGGACCCUCUGACUUGUAGGCCAGUUUUCUAUGGACCAUGUGGUUGCCAUUCUGGAUGGAGGCAGAGGACAGAAGAGAAAGCUGCUUCUUGGCCAUUGAAGCUGAGGGGUAGGGGAGAAUCCCCUACUAGUGAGCUCCUUCCUCCAAUCUGAAUGCUGCAGUCCCAUUUGCCUCCUGUGGAUGAUGAUUCUGGCUGCUUCAAGGGGUGUAUACCUCGUUUUCUACUUCAUUGAACAGUCUCUGCCCUAUUUCUUAGACUCCCCUCCCUUCCAUGAGGCUUCCUGGCUAGAGAUUCCUUCUCUUUCUCUUUUCACUUGCCCUGCCCAGAUGAAGAAACAGAAGUCCGGAGACAGCAAUGCUUCUCCCCUGUCCAUUUGUAGCUUGGAUUAUGAAUGUCCAGUGCUGCUGGCAUCUUGCUCCAGGGAUGGGACCUGGAAGCUGGUAUAUUUCUGAUCUGACUCAUGGCUUCAUUGCUUCUUGAGAGCAGGGAUUGUCUUUUGCCUCUUUGCAUCCUCAUGUUAAGCACAGUGCUUGGCACACAAUAGGUGCUUAAUAAAGAUUGAUUGCUCCCCA
ensembl:lncRNA